GGGGGCAGCUGGGUCAGGCUGGACCGGGGCACUUCCUAGCGUGAUGACCGCCUUCUCAUGCGGGGGACUCUUGCCAGAUUUUUGUUUUUUUUUUUUUUUUCCCACUUAUUGCAAAUUUGCGCUAUUUCUACUUUGCCACUCUUUGUUUGGCCACACCCGCAGCAUGCAAAAGGUCUCAGGCCAGGGAUCAAACCUGGGCCACAGCAGUGACCCAAGCCACUGCAGUGACAACACUGGCUCCUUACCCCGCUGAGCCGUGAGGGAGCUCCAGCUCGUGUAUUUAACACAACUUUUUUUUUUUUUUUUCUUUUGGCCACUACUUGUUAUGGCAACUUCGUGUUAUUUCUACUACAUGAGGGGAGAGGUUGCCUCUUUUGAAGCAUGGACUUUUUUUCCUACUCUUUUUUCUUAAGGAGGAUGGGGCUCCGUGUGGGAGGACAUCCCCUGUGACCACUGAGAUUUAUGUCUGUGGCUCUGAACCCAGCUCUGUGCUGUUCUUUAUUUGAUACAACAACCCAGUGUGUGGGGGGGACUGUGCCUACCCCCUGCUCACGAAGGAGACAAGCGGGGCCAGAGAGGGCAGGGGAUCUGCCCCAAGUCACUCAGCUUGCUCAGGGUAGAGCUGAGAUCUGAACCCACGUACAGGUGUUUGCUCCCAGAGCUGGUGCUCUUCCGUGUCACGGUCCACUUGACACGGAAGCCACGGCCCUGCCCACCCUCUGCGAGCCGCCUGAUCUCUCCUAGGGAUACUGAAAAGGCACAAAAGCUUGUCUGUGUUGUUGGAAGUAGUGAAAAGGUCAAAGCCGGUGCUCAGGUGAUGUGUUCAUGCUGGUUUCUACCAGAUUAUGAUUUCACUAAAUGUCACGUGUCCACAAGGGACAAAGGCCAUACCACUCCCAGCAGUUGAUGGUAUUUCCCAAAAGCAGUACUGGCAGCCUGUACGCUCUGUCCUGUACCUGCCAGCCCUGUGAUAAGGCAGCCCCACCUCUACUGCCAGGCUAGGGGUCAGAUUGGAGCUGUAGCCGCCGGCCUACGCCAGAGCCACACAGCAACGCUAUAUCCAAGCCUCAUCUGCCACCUACACCACAGCUCAUGGCAACACUGGAUCCUUGACCCUCUGAGCAAGGCCAGAGAUCGAACCCUUAACCUCAUGGUUCCUAGUCAGAUUCGUUUUUCCAUACGCCGCAAUGGGAACUCCUGUUUUUUCCCAUUUGGCUGGACCUGUGGCAUGCAGAAGUUCCCAGGCCAGGGUUUGAACCCAAGACAGACCGAACAGUGACAAUGCCGGGUCCUUAACCCACUGUGCCACCAGGGAGCUCCUCGGCAACCCUUUGGAAGGGACGCCAGAGGUGGAUCUUCGCCAAGAGAGAGAGAAAGGGAGGGCAGGGAGACGGCUUUUGCAGGAAGGUCCUCCUUCUCGGGGGUCCUCAACAGUGUCCUUGAACCCACUUUCUCUUUAUGGGACAGAAAUUGAUCUGCCUGGAACUGGGCCUCCCUUCGCCCCACCCUUGUGUCCAAAACACAGGAGGCCCGUUGCCGUGGCAGCCACAGUCUUGGAGGUUUGAGACCGCCUUCCGACUGGACACACCUUUCAUUUGUUCUUUGUUUUGAGAAAAGCCAAGUUCAUGUUUAACCUCUGCACGGUUAGAAGCAUAAUGAUCAAUGGCUCGUGUACCCAACACAGAGGUCCAGGACGGGUACCUUUGAAGACCUUGGCAAGACCCUCCCCAAAUGCCUACUCUUUUCCUCCCCCAGAGAGACUCCUCAUGCUCCAAUUUGCAUUAAUCUUUCCCUGGCUUUUCUUUGCCAUUUAAUCCUCUGUGCACCCAGCUCCAGACGGAUCAGCGGCUGAUUCCAUUGCAUAAGUGACUCACCUCUCUGCCGGGCCUCCGGGCCAGUUCCUCUCUCCACUAACUCUGUUGGGUGAGCUCAAUGGAGCCCCCGGGCCGAGAUGGGUCACUCCCAGCAAGGGCGGCCAGCUCUUUCUCUUUUCCCCGACCUCAGACAGCGACCCUCAUCCAAACUAGCCAUCUUGGGUCCUAAGGAUAUAGUCCAGGAAGGCUCCCUGGAGCAGAGAGAGCUGGGAAGGCGUUGGGUAGAUGGAAAGGAGAAGAAGGGAAUUUCUGGAAGAGGAAGCCAUGCAAACCAAAGCACAGACCAGAGUUCCCGCUAUAGGCCAGGCAUUGCUACAGCUGCAGGGUAGGUUGCAGCGCAGCUGGGAUCUGAUCCCUGGCCCAGGAACUUCGGAGGCUGCAGGAUGGCCAAAAAAUAAUAAAAUAAAAUAUAAAAUAAAACAAAACAGAAACAAAAUAGAAACAAAGCACAGAGUUACCUUGAAAGCAAGUUCAUAGCAAGGCCAUUCAGGGCUUCUGUUGGGAGACAGUGGGGGCGGGGCGGACACGCUAAGCUUGGGAGGCCAGGGUGGGAAUGAACUUGCCCUGGGCAGUGGGGGAGGAGGGGGCUGACUUAAUCCAUGAAAAAUGGCACAUGCUUCCUCGAGUUGGUGCAGAAUUGCCUCAAAUUUGUCAGGCUAAGCGAUGGUAAAGCAAGGACAGUCCUACAGUCUUACUUCUCACCCAUGCAAAGUUCACGGCAUUUGGUAGCUCUCAAGAAAAACUGCCCUCUGGGCAAUGAUGUAAUGAUUCAGCCUGUGGGAGCUUCCUGUGUCUCCGAGCGGCUACUGGCAAACUACAGCCCCCGGGCUGCCUCCUGUUUUUGUAAAUAAAGGUUUAUUGGGACAU
rnacentral:lncRNA from 1 species